AGAGUUUGAUCCUGGCUCAGGACGAACGCUGGCGGCGUGCCUAAUACAUGCAAGUCGAACGAGAGCGACCGGUGCUUUCCCUUGUUCAAUUUAGUGGCGAACGGGUGAGUAACACGGGGGUAACCUUCCCAUCAGAGGGGGAUAACCUUCGGAAACGGAUGCUAAAACCGCAUAGGUUUUCGAACCGCAUGGUUUGAAGAGGAAAAGAGGCGCAAGCUUCUGCUGAUGGAUGGACCCGCGGUGCAUUAGCUAGUUGGUGAGGUAACGGCUCACCAAGGCCGUGAUGCAUAGCCGACCUGAGAGGGUGAUCGGCCACAUUGGGACUGAGACCCGGCCCAAACUCCUACGGGAGGCAGCAGUAGGGAAUUUUCCGCAAUGGACGCAAGUCUGACGGAGCAACGCCGCGUGAGUGAAGAAGGUUUUCGGAUCGUAAAACUCUGUUGUUAGAGAAGAACAAGUGCUAGAGUAACUGUUAGCGCCUUGACGGUAUCUAACCAGAAAGCCACGGCUAACUACGUGCCAGCAGCCGCGGUAAUACGUAGGUGGCAAGCGUUGUCCGGAUUUAUUGGGCGUAAAGCGAGCGCAGGCGGUUCCUUAAGUCUGAUGUGAAAGCCCCCGGCUCAACCGGGGAGGGUCAUUGGAAACUGGGGGACUUGAGUGCAGAAGAGGAGAGUGGAAUUCCAUGUGUAGCGGUGAAAUGCGUAGAUAUAUGGAGGAACACCAGUGGCGAAGGCGACUCUCUGGUCUGUAACUGACGCUGAGGCUCGAAAGCGUGGGUAGCAAACAGGAUUAGAUACCCUGGUAGUCCACGCCGUAAA
rnacentral:rRNA from 1 species